GGAACACUCUUUUUUUUGCUUCUUCUGCCUCUUCUUCUAUUGCGCUAAUAGUUUCUCAACGCUUUGGGUUGCGUCUCCCAGAGACAGAGGGACCUUCUCCUCCUUCUUCUUCUUCUCCUUCUUCUCUUCGUCCAUGGACCUUCACAACCGACCAGAUCACUGUUUUCCGGAGAAGAAAGGUCAGAAGAGGAAGUUGGAGGAGGAUUUCGAAGAUGACCGACAGAUCUCCGCCCCUCCCACCGGCCACGCGAGAGACGCCCUCCUCUCCGACGUCAAGGAACAGGUCAUCGUUCUUGAUUCAACCUUCUCAUGGAAGGAAUCCGAUCGUGCUGCCGCCAAGCGCGCCACGCACGCUCUCGCGGAUCUCGCCAAAAACGAGGAAGUGGUGAACGUGAUUGUUGAAGGAGGCGCAAUUCCUGCUUUGGUUAAACAUCUUCAAGCGCCUCCUCUGGCUGGAAGCGACCGGUUGCAGAGGCCAAUGCCGUUUGAGCACGAGGUUGAGAAGGGAAGUGCUUUCGCGCUUGGACUUCUCGCAGUCAAGCCGGAGCACCAGCAGCUCAUCGUUGACAGCGGUGCUUUGAAACAUCUCGUUGAUCUUUUAAAGAGACAUGAAAAUGGCUUAACAUCUCGUGCCAUUAAUAGUCUAAUUCGUAGGGCUGCAGACGCGAUUACUAAUCUUGCGCACGAGAACAGCAGUAUUAAGACUCGUGUCAGGAUGGAAGGUGGGAUUCCACCGCUCGUUCAUUUACUUGAAUUUGCGGAUACAAAGGUGCAAAGAGCAGCUGCUGGUGCACUGCGAACCCUUGCUUUCAAAAAUGAUGAAAAUAAAAAUCAGAUUGUUGAAUGCAAUGCCCUUCCAACUCUGAUUCUAAUGCUUCGUUCAGAAGAUGCUGCUAUUCAUUAUGAAGCGGUUGGUGUGAUUGGAAAUCUGGUCCACUCUUCUCCUAACAUAAAAAAAGAAGUUAUUCUUGCUGGAGCCCUACAACCGGUCAUCGGAUUACUUAGCUCCUGUUGCUCUGAAAGCCAGAGGGAAGCAGCCUUGUUACUUGGACAGUUUGCAGCAACUGAUUCAGACAGCAAGGUUCACAUUGUUCAGAGGGGUGCUGUCGGACCUCUGAUAGACAUGCUUCAGUCUCCUGAUGUUCAGCUAAAAGAAAUGUCUGCUUUUGCGUUGGGGAGACUGGCCCAGGACACACAUAACCAAGCUGGUAUUGCACACAAUGGUGGCUUGAUUCCAUUACUGAAGCUUCUUGACUCAAAAAAUGGGUCUUUGCAACAUAAUGCUGCUUUUGCUCUUUACGGCCUUGCAGAUAAUGAGGAUAAUGUGGCCGAUUUUAUUAGGGUAGGUGGAAUUCAGAGACUGCAGGAUGGAGAGUUUAUUGUUCAAGCAACUAAGGAUUGUGUUGCAAAGACAUUAAAAAGAUUAGAAGAAAAGAUUCAUGGGCGAGUGUUGAACCAUUUGUUAUAUCUCAUGCGAGUCUCAGAGAAGGCUUUUCAAAGAAGAGUUGCUUUGGCUCUUGCUCACCUUUGUUCUGCAGAUGACCAGAGAAAAAUAUUUAUUGAUCACCAUGGUUUGGAAUUGCUUAUGGGGCUUCUUGGCUCGUAUUAUAAUCCUAAGCAACAACUUGAUGGAGCUGUGGCUUUAUGCAAGUUGGCCAAUAAAGCCACGACUCUGUCUCCUGUGGAUGCUGCACCCCCAUCUCCCACACCCCAGGUCUAUUUGGGAGAGCAGUAUGUAAACAAUGCUACCUUGUCUGACGUUACAUUUCUAGUUGAAGGCAAACGAUUUUAUGCUCACAGAAUUUGUCUGCUUGCAUCUUCAGACGCAUUUCGUGCUAUGUUUGAUGGAGGUUAUAGGGAGAAGGAGGCACGGGACAUAGAGAUUCCAAACAUUAGAUGGGAGGUUUUUGAGUUGAUGAUGAGAUUUAUAUACACGGGAUCAGUUGAGAUCACGCUUGACAUUGCCCAAGAUCUCCUCCGAGCAGCUGAUCAAUAUCUUUUAGAAGGACUCAAGAGACUCUGUGAGUACACGAUUGCGCAGGAUAUAUCACUUGAGAGCGUAUCAAGUAUGUAUGAACUUUCUGAAGCAUUUAAUGCUAUAUCGUUGAGGCACACCUGCAUCCUUUUUAUCUUGGAACACUUUGAUAAAUUGAGUGUAAAGCCAGGACACUCCCAUCUGAUUCAGCGUAUAAUACCUGAGAUCCAGAAUUACUUUGUUAAGGCCCUUACAAAGGCCAAUUCCAACAAUCAACCGUAGCAUUUCCUGUUCUAUUUGACAUCUAACCAGUUGCAAUGUACAUAAUGCGGUCAAUGUUAAUUGAACCUGAAGUCUCCUGGAUUGAGUGCGGCAUGGCUUAAAAAGUUCUAACAUCAGGUCUACGUUCUUUUCUGAUGCAGUUGCAGGCUGUCCUUACCUGCAACAGCAACAAGCAUCUUAGAACCUUGAUGAGUCAAGCUAGGAGCCAUUGGAUUGAUCAUGGGGUUGUCUAACACACCAGCUGCAUCAGAGUACACAAAGUUCCUAAUGAAGGACGGAUGGGCCUCUUAAAACCUAUAAUAGGUUUGCGAACGCUAGGCCAUGAACUUUUACACCACCUGGUAAUGCUUCAACCCCAGCACGCAUGUAUUAUGAACAAUAUUGACACCGCAGCUAUGGCCCUCAACCGAUAUCUUAUGGAGUCACCAUGGUUGAUGAGCCACUUGUCGCUGUUGGCGGGAUUUGGAGUUGCAUGGGAAGCAACCCAUUUCAGACCAACCCUACAAUCAUAAUAAGCUGCUGGGAGAUUUUCUACGCUCUAUGGACAUGAUUAUAACAUUUGCCUGAGAAGCUACUGGGUUGAAGAGUUUGGUGUUCAGAGCAGAAGCCACCUCCAUAGGAGUUAGUUUUAGAAAGAAAAGUGGAGCGAAAAAAAGGAAAGGUUUGUUUGAGAAGAGAAUGUCUUGUAUGAGAGAGCGGGUGGAGUGAGGGAGGAGUUCUUGGUUGGUUGAUGGAGCCAUCUUUGUAGACAUAUAACAUUUUAAGAAGAAAAAGGAUAUUUUUGAUA